CACAUUUUCUCGUCGCGAGUGUUCGACGUCUUGAAGUUCCAAAUUCGUUGCAUUAUCCUCUUUGGUAAGAGCGAAAAUUUCGAACCGAAACUCCAGUUCACGGAUUUCGUAAAGAAUUGAUUAAGAAAUGAAGAUUGCCUGUUCGACCACCUUCACAACUAUACCUGAAUCUUCAAUCUAUGGUCUUUCUAAUCCAUGGAAGCCAUCGUCUUCUCUGAAAUCCACGGGGAAACGAACUCCUAAGAUUGUACUCAUUGGCUCCCGUAAUUUGUCCCUGCGAUUGUCUCCUCGACGUUCGAAUUCCCUGUCCCCAAAUCGGUUUCGUCCUCUUUGCUUCUUCAAUGCUAAAGAUGAAUCCGGCGGCGAUUUUCAGCAGAAGGGAAAUGGGGGUGGAUGGCCUAUCUUGAGGCGGUGGGAGGUGCCAUGGGGAUGGCAAACAGUUUCAUUAACUUCACUAGCUUGUGGAUUAAGUGUUAUCGUGACAGGCUUGGUUGAAUCUGCUGCCAUUCCUUAUCUUGGUAUUCGCAUUGAAGAGCUAAGCUUAGAUGAGAAAGCUGAAAUACUUCUCCUGAACCAAGGCAUUGCAACUGUGGCAGUGCUUGGGAUCAUAUACAGCAUUGCCAACACUUUCCAACCACUUCCUGAUGACAUUUAUCGCUAUGAUAUUAGGGACCCCUUGAAUCUGCAGAAGGGUUGGCUCUUAUGGGCAGGAGUGGGUCUAGUGGGUGCCCUGGCUUCUAUUGCAGUGACAGGAGCCGUCUUGUCUUCAUUUAAUGGCGGGAGUACUCAAAGAGAGACAGAUGCUUUAGUACGCUUGCUUCCACUAGUUGGAUCUUCCAGCAUCAGGUUGUUGGCGGAAGCACUGCUUGUCUGGUGGGCAUCACAGGGGUCCUUGCUCCAGUUCUUGAAGAGACCGUGUUUCGUGGAUUUUUUAUGGUGUCUCUUACUAAGUGGAUUCCCACGCCAGUUGCCGUUCUGAUUAGCGCAGCUGUGUUUGCCCUUGCUCAUUUCACUCCUGGAGAGUUUCCCCAGCUCUUUGUGCUUGGAAGUGCUCUGGGAUUUUCUUAUGCUCAAACUCACAACCUCUUGACCCCCAUCACCAUCCAUGCUUUGUGGAACUCGGGCGUCAUUUUGCUUCUUACCUUUCUUACGCUCCAAGGUUACGAUAUCAAGGAGUUGUUGCAGACAACAUGACGCAAGGGAGGCUUCUUUUCAAAAUCACAAUCUGUGCAAACGAUCAUUGUUUACAUACUAUUGCGUUGCUUUUAAUGGCAUCAAAUCCUCUCGCGUUGCUUUUAAUGGCAUCAAAUCCUCUCUGAUAGAACAGUGAAUAGGUUGUCGAAAGCUACAUUUUUCUGAAGAUGAACCAUCUUACUGUAAACUAGUUGAUAAAAUGAGUUCUUUGCUCUCAA